UAGCUUGCGAGGCAAGGAACCACAGGAGCUAGGAACCAACAGAUCCCAGGCCUCCGGCCUGGGCUCCACCGAAUGAAGUGCAAAACCAGUGGCGAGGUGGUUCUAUUUUGUGCUUCGUCGGCGACUUUGCUGCUGAACGGAUCGAACUUGCACUGGACAGAAGGAAGGACCAGCUGCGCUGCUUGCCGAGCGACCUCACGAGCGCCGCCUGCUCGCGCUCCGAGGCUUCGGUCUCCCCCAGCCGGCCGCCCGGCCCGCCGUCGCUGACAGGACGCGGCAAGAAGUGCGCGUUCUUAUGGUGCCGGCGAGUCCGCGUGCCGUCGCGGGCUCUCCGCGCUGGUUCAUGGCGAGGUACAUGCCCGUGUGCGCCCCGCGGAUGCUCACCAGCCCCACGGCCACGCUGAUGAACUCGAGGAUCCCUGCAGCAGAGACGGGGCCACAUCUGUGAGCAACGGUCACUUCAGCGAGUGCACAGUGGUCGGUGGAAACAGCAAUUGGCUGGCAGUAGGUUUGUUAUCAUGAGCAGGGCACAGCAGUUCACAGUCCCAAGGUGGCACUGGUGUACCCGUGACGCACGUGCACACACAUCCCUUUUGUCAAUCCUCUGCUGGACGAGGGCCUCUUCACGCCGUGCGGGUCGUUGUGCAGGUUACUCGACGGUACUUCACUACGCUCGUCAGUGCGUGUUGGUGACGGACAAAUGAGCGUCGACAUGGGGCCAUAGUAUAAUGCAACAAUUGAUUUUACUGCACUGGUCUCUGCUGACCACAAUGCAGCAUCAGCCUAUGACACCUGAUUUUUUUUGCCGCCUCGCACCUCUUCCAAGACAUCUGUGAAGAGGUGGGAGUACCCGCACAAGACGUCUGGCAAGCAUGGAAGAGUAGGCCAAAUACCCUCUAUAUAGCUCCCUCUGGUGCAGUCCUUCAGCCCGUAGUGGCGUGAGCGAACAAUUGGCAGGACUGCACUUUUACCUUCUGCCUUUUAACGUAAUUAUGAAUUCUGAUGUUUCCAAACGAAUUCAUGACAUCGUGAUGAGAAAAGCUUAUUUGGAAAUUGUAGUUCCCAGUAUAAAUAUACACACAAAAUCAGUUAUCGUGAUGAGGUGACGAUUGUCAUGUAUUCGUUGACCGGAAUUCCAAAAAUAUGACAUGGAACAACACGUUCAGUCGCGUGCACGAUCACUCCAGACCCAGACGACGUCGAGCACAUGGUUUCACCUAUAUCACAGUUAUUGGGAAACAUUUUUUUUUUUUUACCCGCAGCACUUAAAUUCAAAGUCUGCAGAGUCUCCUGGCAUGGGCACUAGCCCCCGCGAGGGACACCCAACCCCAGGGCACGAGCUGAGGAACUCAAAGAAUUUGGCUCGGUGUCACAUCAUGGCCAUUACAAACGCCCCCGAGCGAUGUAAAAACCCAACCCGGGGCUUGAACCCCCUCCCUCCCUGAUCCAAAGAGGUUCAAUGUGAGGUUCACAGUUAUCUUGAUAUGGUCGUUGUGAUCCCACAGAUCAUCAUCAUAUACUCCUUCACCCAGCACUGUCAUCUUUGCAACGUUUUAUACAGUGGCGGUAGCAGCAGCAGCAACGAGAGGUCCUAGACGAAGCAUGCGGCAAUACACCCCCCCUCCCCCGCCCACUACGGCCUAAACCCUCGCAGCGGUUCAAUAAAUUUAAGAAUCUAUUCUUUUUAACUCUUUCCAACUUGGGUUGACAGCGUCAAUGCAUCAGCUUUGUCCAUCUGUCUGAAACGGAGAAGGGGGCACGAUAACUCUCGUAAAGAUGAUCCGGUAUGAACGAAACGCCAGUUUAAGGUUGCGUUGCCAUUAACGAGUUGCCAUGUAAAAAAAAAACCCAGUCAAAUUGAUCAAAGCGUUGCCCCAAGUUUGUAGACCCAUACGCCGCGCACUAAAACGACCCACUUCGACAUCCUGGCCCUUGUCCGUCUCGUCGCGGCCUACAGAUGUUACCGCUUCCUGUGUGCCCUGCAUGGGCCCUGCCGUUAUUAUCGCUGAUUAAAGACAAACACUGUCAGGCAUCGGAAGCUUUAAGUGAACGGAGAAAAAAGCAGGCUUCCAAAAUUACCUGCGAGCUUUAUCCAAGAUUUUCUGAGUGUUUCUUAACCACGUCUGGCACAGUCUAAUAAAACUUGAAGGGGAAAAAAAUCCAGCAGGCAUGGACUCAAAAAAAUAUAUAACAACGCAACAAAGUGUUUAAAACGAAAAAAAAAUUCUCCUGUAAAACACCUGUAAUGCAUGAGGGUUUUAUCAGUCA